rnacentral:rRNA from 1 species
UACGGGGGGGGCAAGCGUUGUUCGGAAUUACUGGGCGUAAAGGGCUCGUAGGCGGCCAAUUAAGUCAGACGUGAAAUCCCUCGGCUUAACCGGGGAACUGCGUCUGAUACUGGAUGGCUCGAGUUUGGGAGAGGGAUGCGGAAUUCCAGGUGUAGCGGUGAAAUGCGUAGAUAUGCGGAGGAACACCGAUGGCGAAGGCAAUCCCCUGGGCCUGUACUGACGCUCAUGCACGAAAGCGUGGGGAGCAAACAGG